UGAAAAGACGUAAAGGCAGUCAGCCCAGUGGUGUUUCUGGAGAGGGAUUCCUUCAGAAAUGGAGAAGACAGAAAGCUGCGGAGGCAGAUAUUUGCAGCAGAUUUUUUCCAGAUAAUGCUGUUCUUCUUUUUCAUGUCUAAAAUAUCGAGCUCAACAGCUAUUUUAAGAGCCAACCCUCACAAACCUUCCUAAAACCUAAAAGAGCUAUUACUGAGUCUCAGCGAAUCUUGCCAUGAUCAGCUCUUCCCAGAAGAGAAGGAAGACCAAGGAAAUUAUUUGCUCAGGAUGAGAAAUGAAGACGGCCAUCUUGUGCUCAAACAAACAGAAGUCCUUUGAUGAUCUCAUCAGCCAAAUGAGGGGUUUUGACCAAGUGAUGCUCUUGAAAGGAGUGAAAGAAGAGGAUGUGGUAAAUUGUCUUCAGAGAAAAGCUUCUCAAAAGAUCUUAAAACAGCUUGAAGAAUGGUCUGGGAUGUUAGGACUGAGAGAUCCUCUGGCUGAGAACAAGCUACACCACAUCAGUGCUGGAUAUCAACCACAAACUGUUUCCAGACACGAGAGAAGAAGAACACGAUGGGGAGAUGAAACCAGUUUAGAUGUGAUGAUAAGGAAUCAUUAUUUUCUGGAACAGUAUCACAUGUCUUAUAUGUAUCACAUGAUCUGUAUCACAGUUGACUGGAUGGGACUGUGUGACUUUUAAGGACAUUUCAUCACUCAUCCGUGGGAACUGAUUUAUAUAUGAGGUUAAUGUAUCUUUGAUGAUAAUUAUUUUCAUUGAAUCUUAUUUGUCUUGAUGCUACUUUAUCAACUUUAUAGUCUAUGCUUCAAUAAAAUGAAAAUGGUGAA